UCAAGAGAAUCUAUACUACCCUGUUCGAGAUCAAAACCAAAAACAGAACACAUGAUCAAAAGAGAGCUAUCUCUGAAAUAUACCUCCGAUCGAACGUUAGGGCUUUACUUCUUUUGGGGGAAAAACAUCUUCUUUCGGCCAGAUUGGGGGGAAAGAGGGAUUCGAAGCGGCGAGAUAUCGCGGAAAAAAACAGCGAGAGAAAGGAGAAACAGGAGGGCCGAAGAAACGGUAGCAUUUAUAGGUUG
rnacentral:lncRNA from 1 species